UGAGAAAACUGAGGUCAGAAAGAUAAACUGAGAAGCCCGUUCUGGAAGAGAAGUGCAAGUAUCUGAUGUCCAGGAGAAAGUAACAAGAAGAAUAUGUUAAGAGUGGACCUGUUUGGUGACCUUCCCUGAGUACCUGAUCCAGGACGUGGAGAGGACAGAAGAGGAGACUUGGAG